rnacentral:rRNA from 1 species
UGCGUAGGCGGGCUAAUAAGUCAGUGGUGAAAUCUCUCGGCUCAACCGGGAAACUGCCAUUGAUACUGUUAGUCUUGAGUUCGGUUGAGGUAGGCGGAAUGUGUAAUGUAGCGGUGAAAUGCUUAGAUAUUACACAGAACACCAAUUGCGUAGGCAGCUUACUAGACCGACACUGACACUGAGGCACGAAAGCGUGGGGAGCGAACAGGAUUAGAUACCCUGGUAGUCC